AGCCAGACUUGCACCUGCACUUGUAGGAACCAUGAGUGUUCAGACAGACGGCGUGCCGGCUGCACUUGUGGGUACUGGCCGCACACUCAUCUAGAUCUGGAAGAGGAAGAGGAAGGAGUCUGCUUUCACAAUCAAAGUUGCAGGCCUGCAGACGGACAGAGGCAGCAGAUCUCCCCUUCUACUUCCUCACAGCCGUACUGACACCAUAGCAACACUCGAGUCUCCUGCCGUAUCGACACACUCCGGAUUGGCUUCCAGGAAGGGCUUGUCGGUGGUGUCUUUGCAAAAAAUGUCAACGUUAGAGGGUGUCUCUGCUGUCUUGUCCUAUGAAAAGACUGACACUGACGGAUCACAUCCUGAACUAAAGUGACUCAAAAGACUACUUUUUUAUAAGACAUCUUCAAGCUUUUUUCUUCUAAAUAACUCAGUUCUCUGUGAGUGAACAUGGGCUGAAAAGGUUUUUUCACCCAGACUGCCUGAAGAUUGUGGUGCAUCAAGCAAAUGUCUUUACUAUAAAAGGGAGAUGAGGCUGUUUAAGAGUUAUUUUGAAAGUGAUGUACGUGCACAACCACAUCCUGCCCUCAAAGGCAGAUGCAACCAUGAGCAGAUUGCAGACACCGCUGACUGCUUUGGCAAUCGGCCACAGUUCAUCACAGAAUGUUGUGAUCAACUUGGUCAUUUUAGAGAUUUAAUGUAACAUUCACUGUUAGAAAAUGGCUCGGUUCAGCUUCGAAAGGCCGUGCAUCCCUUCAAGAUCCGCUUAAUCGGCUUGUUUUGCAAAAGUGUCACACAAUGCACCUUUUGUUUUAAGUGUACUUGGAAGUUUGUGAUGGUUUCAGGAAGGAGAGCUGUCAGUUCCUCUUGCAAAAACAGAAGUGACUGUGACACAAAGAGCAGCCAGUGGCACCGACACAUUUACAUUAGACUGUUGUUGUUAAUAUUCAUUUAUUACUGAACCGAGAAGGCCUUUUCUUUAAAGAUUUAAGGGUCUAGAUUUUUAUAUAAAAAGAAAAAGGCAAGAUUUGGACUGGUUUUGUCUUCUCACAAUGAUAAGUCGAGAGCCGUUAUAUCAGUGCUGUGAUGGCGGUUUGAUGGGAAGCUCUCAGACAAUGAAGAAGGUUACUGUAGUUAUUCAUUAUACAUUUAUGAGAUUUCAAACAAUGCACUGCAAUAUUCAGUUUGAUAUGAAAGCAUCCCUGGACAUGUUUACGACUAUACACCAGAUAGUUUUUUUUGUUUUUUAAAUAUAGGAUUUAAAAUUCUGAUUUUAUUGCUUGUUACUCUGACCAGGAAAUUCUCUUUUGCUCCGGCCGCCUUGUGACUCAAAAUUGUUAUUUUGCCAGUAAUGCUGCUCUCCUAAUGCUCAUGUACGCUCUCAUCUUUAUUCACUUCUUGUUCGAUGGGGCUCGAUUGAGCUUUGCCCAACAGUAGCACAGAUAGGCUCCAGCAACCCCAAUACACCAAAAAGGAUUCACUAAUAUGUCAGCAUUCCUAGGUUUUCUAAAGCAUCUGUUGUGUUCAAUGUUUCUCAAUGAUCUGUUUGUUAUUUGAUCCAUCUGUUAAUGUAAAUAUUAAGCUUCUUGUUAGGGAUUUGGUUUCUAGUCCAUUCUCCCCUUCACUGAUGUUUUUUUUCUCUUUUUUUUAAAGCGGUUUAGUUUUACACAUGUGCUUCUAAAGAAUCUCGAUCCCAUUGUGGUCGAUCAUGCAAACGGCACGUUUAACAGAAUGAGACGUUUCCCUUUCUGCUCUGUUUCAGCAUUAAAAACAUUGCAGUUCUUGCUCCACCGCAGGGAUAAAGCCUCCUAAUUUCAGCUUUGCAGUGAUGUUAUUGCAUACCUGUUUUGUUAUCACCAAAAGCCAAUGAAAAUGAAAACAACAACGUUUCAUAUCCUGUUUUUUAGCUAGGGUUAAAGUACAGUUCCCACUGCAAGGAGGAGGCAUCUAAUCUAAGGAUAAUAAAUACCCAGACCUAGCAUUUAAAGUUUAAAGUGGCUGCAAAGAAAUUUGAUGUGAAUGUAUAUUAUGAGUUUAUGUAUGAGCUGCCAUGCAUUGCAGAAAAGUAGAAGCAGCUAAAGGAAGUGAUAAAAGGUCAUAAAUAGCAGAAGUCGGAAGUUCUGCUUCCUGCACAAUCCUAGAUAUGUAUUUUAUAGGAUUGUGUCAUGACAGUCUUCAUAAACUGCUCUAAAUUUAUUCCAAACAUUUUCUCCUCAAAAAGCAGAGUAUGUGUUUUGUAAGUCCUGUUGAGACA